GUGGGGAAUAUUGGGCAAUGGGGGCAACCCUGACCCAGCGACGCCGCGUGAGGGAAGAAGGCCUUAGGGUCGUAAACCUCUGUUGUGUGGGAAGAAGGAAGUGACGGUACCACACGAGGAAGUCCCGGCUAACUACGUGCCAGCAGCCGCGGUAAUACGUAGGGGACGAGCGUUGUCCGGAAUUACUGGGCGUAAAGGGCGCGUAGGCGGUCAUUUAAGUCAGCUGUGAAAUGGUCCGGCUCAACCGGAUCAUGCGGUUGAAACUGGAUGACUGGAGUGCUGGAGAGGCAAGUGGAAUUCCCAGUGUAGCGGUGAAAUGCGUAGAUAUUGGGAAGAACACCGGUGGCGAAGGCGACUUGCUGGCCAGCAACUGACGCUGAGGCGCGAAAGCCAGGGGAGCAAACGGGAUUAGAUACCCUUGUAGUCC
rnacentral:rRNA from 1 species